rnacentral:rRNA from 1 species
GGGUUGGGCCACCGGCUUCAGGUGUUACCGACUUUCAUGACUUGACGGGCGGUGUGUACAAGACCCGGGAACGUAUUCACCGCAGCGUUGCUGAUCUGCGAUUACUAGCGACUCCGACUUCAUGAGGUCGAGUUGCAGACCUCAAUCCGAACUGGGACCGGCUUUUUGGGAUUCGCUCCACCUCACGGUAUUGCAGCCCUUUGUACCGGCCAUUGUAGCAUGCGUGAAGCCCAAGACAUAAGGGGCAUGAUGAUUUGACGUCAUCCCCACCUUCCUCCGAGUUGACCCCGGCAGUAUCCCAUGAGUUCCCACCAUUACGUGCUGGCAACAUAGAACGAGGGUUGCGCUCGUUGCGGGACUUAACCCAACAUCUCACGACACGAGCUGACGACAACCAUGCACCACCUGUUCACCAGUGUCCAAAGAGUUGACCAUUUCUGGCCCGUUCUGGUGUAUGUCAAGCCUUGGUAAGGUUCUUCGCGUUGCAUCGAAUUAAUCCGCAUGCUCCGCCGCUUGUGCGGGUCCCCGUCAAUUCCUUUGAGUUUUAGCCUUGCGGCCGUACUCCCCAGGCGGGGAACUUAAUGCGUUAGCUGCGUCACGGAAACCGUGGAAUGG